rnacentral:tRNA from 1 species
GCGGCCGUGGCGGAAUUGGUAGACGCGCAACGUUGAGGUCGUUGUGGGCGAACGCCCGUGGAAGUUCGAGUCUUCUCGGCCGCACCA